AAUAGCUCAAAUUUGAAAGCUGGCGUCUUCGACGUCCGCGUUGUAAUUUGUAGAGGAUGUUUCGGCGAGGGCUCCUGCCUAAGUUCCCUGGAAUGGGACGUCACAGAGGGUGAGAAUCCCGUAUGUGGCGGGCGGCCUUAGCCAUGUGAAACUCCUUCGACGAGUCGAGUUGUUUGGGAAUGCAGCUCUAAAUGGGAGGUAAAUUUCUUCUAAAGCUAAAUACCGGCCAGAGACCGAUAGCGCACAAGUAGAGUGAUCGAAAGAUGAAAAGCACUUUGGAAAGAGAGUUAAAAAGUACGUGAAAUUGUUGAAAGGGAAGCGCUUGCAACCAGACUCGUUCGCAGUUGCUCAGCCCGCCUCUUGGUGGGUGUACUCUUCUGCGGUCGGGCCAGCAUCAGUUCGGGCGGUCGGAUAAAGGUGUCGGGAAUGUAGCACCCUUCGGGGUGUGUUAUAGCCCGGCGCGGAAUGCGGCCAGCCUGGACUGAGGAUCUCGCUUCGGCAAGGAUGCUGGCGUAAUGGUUGUAAGCGGCCCGUCUUGAAACACGGACCAAGGAGUCUAACAUCUAUGCGAGUGUUUGGGUGUCAAACCCAUGCGCGUAAUGAAAGUGAACGGAGGUGGGAACCCGCAAGGGUGCACCAUCGACCGAUCCUGAUGUCUUCGGAUGGAUUUGAGUAAGAGCAUAGCUGUUGGGACCCGAAAGAUGGUGAACUAUGCCUGAAUAGGGUGAAGCCAGAGGAAACUCU
rnacentral:rRNA from 1 species